AUAGUUCUCUCGAAAUCAUUCCACUGUAUCAAUCUUUUCCUUAACCUUUCUCUCUUCUCCCUCAACUCUCUCUUCUCCCUCGGCCAGCCACCGUCCAUCUCUGUUGCCGCCAUCAACCAAUCCAUCUUCUCCUGCGGUAGCGAGCAGUAGCAACAGAGAAAAAGCAGUUAUUAAGCGGGAAGGACCAAUUUCCUCUUUGUUCUGGCAAUUUUAUACGUCUGUUCAAGGGUAACUGGGAAUAGUGAUUGUCAUUUUUUCAUCAAAUAUUUAAUAACCUUUAGUUAUAUUUUAAUUAUCAAGACAUUGUUCCAUCAACCAGUCCAUUUUCUCAUAUCAGAGCGAGCAGUCGCCACCAUCAACCACUCCAUCUUUUCCUCAGUCGCCACCAUCAACCACUCAGAUCUGAGCGAGCAGCCGCUUCUCUCUCUCUUCCUUUUUCUCAGAUCUAGCGAGUAUCUCAGAUAUGUAUUUUUCGCCUGUAUUUCGAAGGAGAUCUUUUUGUAUACAAAUGAAUACAGUGAAUUUGAGUACAGCUGAAUAUCUUUGUAUUUUUUAUUUUUUUUUGCAUUUAUGUUGUUUGAAUACAACCGAAUUUAAAUACAAUAAGUUGAAUACAAUGUAAAAGUAGUUACGAAUAAAUACAACCGAAUUUAAAUACAAUAAGUUGAAUACAAUGUAAAAGUAGUUACGAAUAAAUACAACCGAAUUGACUACAUCCUAAUUCUUUUUAUAUACAAUGAAUUUAAAUACAGAUGAAUAUCCUUAUUUUUUUUCUUCAUUUAUGUUAUUUGAAUACAAUCAAAUUUAAAUACAUUAAGUUGAAUACACGUAAAUACAAUCGAAUUGAAAUACAGCCGAAUUGGAAUAUAGCGAAAUACAGUCGAAUUUGAAUACACGUUACUAUAGCUACGAAAUGUAGUAGCUAUGCCUAAAAAAACCCGAAAGUGUAGUCAUUUGUGUAAGUUGCCCAUUUUUUAUACUGUCUUUCAAGGAAAGUUAUGUUGUAGUGUCACAGUAAAUGGAAUUUGUGGUGCAUAUGAGAUCAACAAGAGCGGAGGAGCUGUGCUAAGCAUGUCAAUGUCUCUCAUCAAAUAUAUUGUCUUAAUUGCGAACUGGAAAACUGUGUCACCCUACUAGUGAGUAAAACGCGGAGGAAACAGAUAAUUAUAUUGAAAAAUAAUGUAUUUUCAUAGAAAUUUAAAUAAUUGACACCAUAAACUGUUAAAUUUUUUAUACCGUCUUUCAAGGAAAGUUACGUUGUAGUGUCAUUGUAAAUGAAAUUUGUGGUGCGUAUGAGAUCGACAAGAGCAGAGGAGCUGAGCUAGGGUAUGAAAUGAAAUGGAAUGGAAUCAAUGUGACUAAUCGUAUGCCGAUCACUAUUCGAAUGGCGUUGUUAGUUGCCAUCUACCACAAACUUUUCUCCUAGAAAAACAUCGCAAGACUGGACCAGAUGAUAGUACCGACGGAAUCCAAAGAGAAGCAGACACUGAUAUUGUUGAAGAUCAUUGUUCCAACUCUGAAGGAGUCCACAAACUAGAAUCAUUUUCACAAGUUCACGGGUGUGGAAAUUGUUGUACCUUAUGCUUAUCACGAUUUUGACAGACUUCAAGGAGAGAUUUCCUCAUUACAACAAGAAAUCAAUCCAGAUUCCUUGGGAAUUGGCUUCAUACCAUCAGAAAACAUGGUAAUUUAUCCUUCCACCGUUAAUUACACCAACGAACUUAAUGCUCCCUCCUUGCUAUAUUCACUGGAAUCUAUUUUCCCUAAUUUUGAUGAUGGGACACUAGUAGUCGUAAAACCUAAAGAAAAGUUUUUUAAUGAAUAUGAAAUGCUUAACCCAAUUCUUCAAAUGUGACUAAUUUGCAAUGGGAUGAUAGUGAGGAAGAUGUUGAUUCUGAUUAUGGUAAUAAAUGUGCACCGGUGGGAAUUGAAGAACAGAAUGAUGGAAACUCCACUUGUUUGAUAAAAGUCCUCAUACAAAAGAGACUACUGAAAACGAUGCAGCUAAGAUGUUCACUAAUUAUUUGGAACAAGGUCGGAGGACGAUUCUUAUUCUGCUAGUAAGGACGUUAGGGAAAGUGUGACAGUAAUAGGUAACGGCGAAAUGGAGGACCAGGUACAAGGUUUCGAUCUAAUUGUGGCACACAAUUUAUCUCCUCCUCAUUCAAAUUGUGGCACACACCUUCUGUUUGAUAAAAGUUCUCACAGAAAUGAGACUCAGGAGAUUAGCCAUAAUGAGAUCGUUUUAGACCAACAUAUUUUGUAACCAGCUAAUGAAACGUUAACACUGGUAGUUAAACGGUCUGAAGGUAGCGUACAUCAAAUGUUUGAUACAUUUCUUCAGAGAGAUGACAUUAGUGUGACGGAUAAAUAACUGAAGGACAUGGUUGGCGAUGUGUUGCUAGAAAUAAAAGAUAAAGAGUUUGUAAUGAAGCAUCACAUUUCGUUUAAUUUUUGUCUUAGUAAAUUUUGAUGUGAAUGUUCAGAAAACUGAGAUGACGGAUGAAUAUAGGUCAAGAAAAUUGAAAAAUGUUGAGAACCCAAGAAAUCACAUGGACAUAACGUUCGAUGAAAUUCUUCAAAGGGAUAAAGAACCCUUCUCUGAAUGAAAAGCUCUUAAUAAAGGACAAAAGGCCAUCUUCAACUCCUCUGUUACCGGCGUUGACGAGCAGGGGACAUGUUCGAUGUCUCUCAUCGUGGCCGUACCAAUAGGAAUCGACCUCGAUUCUAAGGAGGCAGGUCUGAAUGAUUCCCCAUCUAUUAUAAACUUGGGCAAAUCCAAAACUGUGAUUCCUACAUGUGCCGAGUAUGAAGAUGUUCGCGUGGUUCGCGAGUUGUUUGGUGAAAUGCCAUGUUGGUUCAAAGAAAUGGUAGAAAGUACUAUUAAGUUUGUUGGUAAAGAGGCGUAUUUAAGAAAAUUCAGUGGUGAUGUUACCAGUUACAUGUGCCAAAGGGAAAGGUCACUAAUGAGAGAUUCCAAUUUCAAUUGGGCUAUCAUUAGUAAGGAACCUACUCAAAUGGUGGUUUUACCGGAUAAAGUAGUUGAAAUGAGACGUUUGGUAAAGAAAAUUCGUAAGGGUAAAAAUCAGGUUGAUUUUUAAAGAUAUGAUAAUAUUUUAACUAUUCUCCAAUACCCCGUUGAUGGUGUUCUUUUCUCACUUCAAAUAGUAGCACCAAUGUGGCAAAGUGCUCUGUUCUGGGAGGCCUUUUUCAGAGCUGUUGCAGCAACUGUAAUGCUCAGAUCUUCAUUUCAAUUCCAUUGGAGCGAGAAAUGUGGUUUAAUUGGUCAGGAAAGAUUGAUAAUGAUUGAUGUGAAUUCAAGAGUACCUAACUAUAACAUUGUAUAUGUAUGUGAAGUUGGGAAUAUAUUUCAAUUUGAAGCAAAUGUAGUAGAUGAGUAGAUGAUAGGAGUGGUGAACUAUUGAAUCAUCGUAGCACAUGACAAUUCCAGAUGAAAUUUAUGGUGCUUGGUCAUUAGUUACAAAUGACAAGCCUUCUCUAUUCGGAAGAAUAUUUGGGAAUGAUUCUAUUGCUUCAUAGAGAUAUGGUUUUUCACUAAGACAAAAUGCAUUAACUGAAGUUCUUCUUCGAGCUUUUGAUAGAGCAUUGUUUGGUCCAAUUUUGUUUCAACCUAUAGCUCGAUGUGACUGGAGAAGUUCAGCAGUGGUCAGGACAAUCUUUGUGGCAUGGACUGGUAGACUCUUAGAGCUACUGAUGGAUGGAGAGUUUUGGCUUGGACUACUUGUGAUCACAUAGAUGUUGAGGCUUUAGCAGCUUGGGGUUUUUCCUUAUUGGUAAUGCAGCAAAAAUGGGUUGGAUGGUUGUUACCUUGUUGGAUUGCACAUGGUCUAGAUAAUCCACUCCUUUUGGGUCCAGGAAGGAUGGAGCCUCGGCUCGAAGUACAUAUGAAGUCAAGUGUAGUUGUAGCUAUCCUACAACCGAGAGAGGUGGUGGUCUUUUUUGCCUUCAAGCAGAUGUUGUUAGUAGAGGCUCCAACGAAUCUAUCUACAACACAUAUUAAUCCCGUGUUUAUGCUUCAAACAUCAUGGGAAGUAACAUGGAGAUUCGUAGCAAUCGUCUCAAACACCUUGGCUGAUAUAUGCAAAAUGGGCUAUGACAGGAUUCAAGUUGCAGUAAUCUCAUCUACCGCUGAGAAUAUAGAGAUGUAUCAAUGUAAGAAUGGAUCUAAAAACAAGUUGCCUAUUUCAAUGAUUUUUACCUUCUUGAUAAUAAUGAAAUUUCGGUACUAUUCUAGUUCUAA